UGCGACGUAGGCACAAGAGGGGGCGGGAAACAAUAAUGGAGCGAAGGUUUAAACAAAAUAGCCGUUGCCCGCGGAAAGGAUAAUUGGAACGUUUCGAGCGAGCACCUCGAGGGAACGAUCGGCGAGCAAAUCGAUCGAGAACCAAUUGUUUCGUCCGUUUUCGCGCAUGCACACCUGCCGUUCUUUGAUUCGUUCACUCGAUGGAACGGGUUAAAGCGAUUAGGUCAACCAGGGAAGGGCCCUUUGUUUCCACGCGAACGUUUGGUAAAUUUACAUCGGUUAACUGGUGAUAGAUAAAGCGGAUCGAUUCGUGGUCGAAUUGAAAAAACGUCACGCGGGAUCGGUCGUUAAGAUUAAUGGAGAUUGCGCGAACGUUAUCAAAGCACCGAACCAGCUUUCACUGUCGAACGUGGUAAAUUUAUAACGGAUCACAGGAAAUUCCUUUUAAGCCUCCAACCUCCGAGAUCGUUUAAGAAUCCCGCGCCGGAUUUCGCGCCGGUGGAAUAGUUAAACACCUCGUUUUGCGUUAUCUUUUUGAAAUCCAUCGCCACGUAAAUCGAUAAUCGUUUUAUUUUAUUAAAUUGCUUGCUUUUAUCUCGAAUCGUUGGAGAGUCUACUCUGCCUAUUUGCGACAAGGUAAAAUGAAAUUUAAAGGGAAUGAAAGGGAGUCGAACGAAAGACGAUCGUGAAAAAGAUUGAAAAAAGAAUAUCGAAGAUCUUUGAUUGAAGAAGAAAUCGAGAUAACUUUUGUGUCGUAAUAAAAAAAAAAAAGAA